UCCGCCCGGCCCCGGCGCGACAUGCGGCGGGAGAGGUGCCGCGCCGCCCGCCCGCGUGCCCGCCAUGGAGGUGCUGAGGCGCUCCUCGGUUUUCGCGGCGGAGAUCAUGGAUGCCUUUGACAGAUCGCCCACCGACAAGGAGCUGGUGGCCCAGGCCAAGGCGCUGGGCCGGGAGUUCGUGCACGCGCGGCUUCUGCGUGCAGGCCUUGCCUGGAGCGCGCCCGAGCGCGCGGCCCCGGCCCCGGGCGGCCGCCUGGCCGAGGUGUGCGCGGUGCUGCUGCGCCUGGGUGACGAGCUGGAGCAGAUCCGGCCCAGUGUGUACCGUAAUGUGGCCCGCCAGCUGCACCUCUCCCUGCAGUCGGAGCCCGUGGUGACGGAUGCGUUCCUGGCUGUGGCCAGCCACAUCUUCUCUGCAGGCAUCACCUGGGGGAAGGUGGUCUCUCUGUACGCCGUGGCGGCUGGUCUGGCGGUGGAUUGCGUGCGGCAGGCCCAACCUGCCCUGGUUCACGCCCUGGUGGACUGCCUGGGGGAGUUUGUGCGCAAGACACUGGCAACCUGGCUCCGGCGGCGCGGAGGAUGGACUGACGUCCUCAAGUGUGUGGUCAGCGCGGACCCUGGCCUUCGUUCCCACUGGUUUGUGGCGGCACUCUGUAGUUUUGGCCGCUUCCUGAAGGCUGCCUUCUUCCUGCUGCUGCCAGAGAGAUGAGCUGCCCGUCUGGUCAGGGCCACAGCCUGGACUGCUGCCGCAGGAUGGGAGGGGACCGUGCCUGACCAAAGCAGGAGCCGUGGUUUACGGGCUUGUGUGCUGGGAGCAGCCUGAGGGGCUCGGUGGCGGGGAACCGGGGCACGCAGCACGGAACAGCAUGUCUGACGAAGAGUGCGGGAGGGCUGGAUCCCAGUAAAACCUCACCCGUGAA